rnacentral:rRNA from 1 species
CUGUCUAGAUAGCCAUGCACGUCUAAGUACAAACUAAAUGAUGGUGAAACUGCAGAUGGCUCAUUGCAACGGUUAUGAUGUACCCGGGAGUUCCGAUGGAUAUUUCCAGUAACACUAGAACUAAUACAUGUCCCUGCGUUUAUUAGUUUCGCACAGUCCGUCGCUGAGUCAUGGUAAACAGUUGAUCGACUCGACGUCCCGGAACAGUUUCCGCCCCAUCAGCUUCGAUGGUUGGGUAUUGGCCUACCAUUGCAACAACGGGUAACGAGGAAUUAGGGUUUGAUUUCGGAGAGGGAGCCUGAGAAACGGCUACCACAUCUACGGAUGGCAGCAGGCGCGCAAAUUACCCAAUGCAGACACUGUGAGGUAGUGACGAGAAAUAAUAAAGCGGGACUUCUGUUUCGCUAUUAUAAUGAGGAAUAACCAAAGGUCAUUCCGAUUAGCAACUGAUGGGAAAGUCUGGUGCCAGCAGCCGCGGUAAUACCAGCGUCAGUAGCAUA